GAGUUUGAUCUUGGCUCAGAUUGAGCGCUGGCGGCAGGCCUAACACAUGCAAGUCGAGCGGAUGAAGGGAGCUUGCUCCUGGAUUCAGCGGCGGACGGGUGAGUAAUGCCUAGGAAUCUGCCUGGUAGUGGGGGAUAACGUCCGGAAACGGGCGCUAAUACCGCAUACGUCCUGAGGGAGAAAGUGGGGGAUCUUCGGACCUCACGCUAUCAGAUGAGCCUAGGUCGGAUUAGCUAGUUGGUGGGUAAAGGCCUACCAAGGCGACGAUCCGUAACUGGUCUGAGAGGAUGAUCAGUCACACUGGAACUGAGACACGGUCCAGACUCCUACGGGAGGCAGCAGUGGGGAAUAUUGGACAAUGGGCGAAAGCCUGAUCCAGCCAUGCCGCGUGUGUGAAGAAGGUCUUCGGAUUGUAAAGCACUUUAAGUUGGGAGGAAGGGCAGUAAGUUAAUACCUUGCUGUUUUGACGUUACAACAGAAUAAGCACGGCUAAC
rnacentral:rRNA from 1 species